rnacentral:lncRNA from 1 species
ACUCGCACACUCGAUCCACUCCCAGGCCAGCAAUUUUCCUAAACAGCGUGGCCCCUCUGCACCUAUUUAAAGGCCGAAUUAAGGACAAUCUCUUCCAUUCGGCAAUUCCGCAAGCUCCACCGCCUUCGGGUUCUUUUUCUUUUCUUUUCUUUUUUAUUUUAUUUUUCUGUUUUCAAUUCGGUCAGUGGCUGAUUUUCCAUCUAGUUGAAUAUUGGUUGAAACUUUAGUUAUUUAAUGAACUGUGAGACUUGAUCAAAUAUUAUUUAAUUUUAAGGAUUCAAUAUUCAUGCAGAAUCUUCUUUCCAUGCUUGAAAAAGUCUUUUUGCCUCGUGGAGCUUAAAAGCGACCUUGGAAGGAAAAGGGAUCCACUCAGGGAUUACAGUGAAAUCUUCCGGUUGAGACCGUGGAUCCUCACCCUUAAUCAUGGCAGACGAUGAUGAUCCAAAGAAAGAUACACUCCAUGCACUUAAAAUACCAAAGAAGGCAAGCGAGAUCCCAAGAUUAGCAGCAAUGGGAGGUAACCAGUGCUGAGCAAAGUCGCAAAUGAUCCAAUCAGGAGAAGAUGUUUUCAAGAACUGAAGAAAAGGGCCUUCGAGGCCGUCGUAGGCAAUCUUGAGGUAUGGAAUUUUCUGGGAAGGUAGGUCACUGGUGGCUUCUGCAUCCUGUGGAAGAUGAUCAACAGUGGGUAAAGGGAGGCUCACUAAAUUGAUACGCGGUGCUAAAUUUGAAGGGAUUUUGGGUAAUCGUUGGAUGUUUCUAGGAGUAGAUAUGAAGGAGAUCUUAUGACCCCUUUGGGCUAUGUGCUUGGCAAGCUCAAAGAAUGGGAUUAUAUGACCAAAUGCCAGCCAUGGAAACAGAGCGACAUGAAGCUUUUUAGGUUCUCUCAUGGUGAGUUGGUGACAGUGGUGAUCCUCCUAAUUCAAACUCUCCACACCACAUAUAGGGAUAUUUUUUUUUUUUUUUUCUUUUGAUUAGCAUACAGCGGAUAAUGUUAUGAGAUAUAUUUGGCAGGUAUAAUUUUAAAAGUAAUAAUUAAAAGGUCUAAAGUUUUAAAGCAUGAGAUAUAUUUGGUGCAAUUUUAGUCUAUUUAUAAAUUUUUAAAUUUAAUAUUUGAACAUUUUCCGUGUAAAAGCAAACAAAUAACUAACAAAAUUUAUAAUUAAAAUUUUCUUUCUAAUUAAAAUCAUAAUUCACACCUCAUAAUAGUCAUAUACUCAAUUAAUUUAAAUUUAAUUUUUUUAAUCCCUAUCAAGUGUCAACAUUUUUAACAUAAUCUAACUUUUGAUAAGAUCAAGUUAAUGUAAUAAUUUUUUUUUUUUAAAUAAUGGCAGAAAUUUCUAAAUUCUAAAUAUCUAUUAAGUAUUAAUUUCUAAUUAUUUUAUAUAACCAAACAAAUUAAUUAUUUUAUGUAGUAAGAGGUAUUAUUAUCAAGUAGCAGUUGGAACUGCUAAUAAUUAAACUAAAAAAAAAUUAAUUCUAUAAGUUCCUGAAAUAAGAAGAAAAGAAUCUAUUAGUCAUUCAUAAGAAUAAGUAUCUCAAUGAAUCAAUUUGAAAGACACUUAUUAUUUUUAUAUCUCUACCCUACCAUUCCAAACUUCCCAAGUAAAAGUUCACCAUAGAUAUAAAGGUUUAUCUCAUAUUUACUCCCUAACUUUUUUUCUUUUUAAUUUUAUAGGCUUGCAUAUAAUAUUUAACAACUCAAAUAUAAUAACCAAAUCUUUAUUUCUCAAAAAAGAAUUUAUAGCUCCUUAAUACACUUGAACAGAAAGCAAUGAUAACAAAAAAUAUAAGAGAGCAAAAAAAACUCAUAUAUAUUGCUUGCUUUGCGUUAACUUAUAUAUAGAAAAGUAAAAACUAUUAGAACAAUCUAUAUGUUCUUUUCAAUAGAAUGGUAACUACUUUCAUAAUUAACUAUUCAUUUUCCGCUUAAAUUAUCUGCAUGCGAAAGGCGUGAUUUUUCAAUUCGAUAUCAGUUUGGUGUUUUUCAGUUCAGUAUUGAUAAAGAACUAUUUAGACUCUAUCAGAAGUUUUAACAAAUAUCGUUUGGUUAAGACGAAAUAAGAGAAAAGAUAGACUAGAAAACUAAAUGUCUUAUUGAAAUUCCUCAAAGAUUGAAAAAGUGAGUUUCUAAUAGUUAAAGAAUACUAUUUAUAAUAAAAACAAAACCAUAAUAUGAAAAAUUAUGAAAAUAUCCAAAAUAUCUAAAAAAAUAAUUAAAAUGCAAAAUUGACUCUCUAAACGAUGAAAUUUUCAUAUCAAACUUUUAUCACACUUUUAAAAGUCGUACGUCUUGAAAUUCCCUUUCCGAAAAGUUAUCGUGGGUCUCUAUUGGACGUCAGUAGCAAAAGUUAGGGUCGUUCCAAAUCUGCCGUAAAGUCCAAGACUAGUUGCUCCAUGUCAUUCCCUUCCACUUGUAAAAAACUCGACCUCGAGUUGUCAUCAGCAGGGUAGUACUGAAAUAGAUCUGCCACUUUAAACGUCUAGGAAAUUUUCAUCUUAUGUGGGAGGUUAAGAACAUAGGCAUUGUCAUUAAUCUUCUGAGUGAUCUGGAAUGGACCAAUCUUCUUGUCGUCAAGCUUUUUCUAUCCUCCACCACGCUCCUUGCGUAAAUACAUCAUAACUUGAUCACCGACAUUGAAGGACUUGAAAUGCCUAUGUUUAUCAGCUGUAGCUUUAUAUUUGUCAUUAGCUUCUGUAAGGCAUUGUUGUACCUGUUUGAAAGCAUCCACGUGCUGCUUUGCCAAGUUGCUUGUUGUAAUAUUGUUGUGAGAACUUGUGGGAAGGGCAAUAAGGUCAACUUAUGCGCUGGGACUUUCCUGUACACAACAACAAAUGGUGACAUUUUUGUGGAGCUGUGGACAACACUAUUUUAAGCUAAUUCUGCUUGAGCAAGAGCAAGAUCCUAAGCAGUUUUCUUAUUACUGUAGAUGCAGCGCAGAAGAUUGCCAAGUGUGCGGUUCACCACUUCAGUUUGUCCAUCAGUUUGGGGAUGGGCAGCACUACUGUAUCGAAGUUCAGUUCCAAAACGUUUCCAUAAAGUCACCUAGAAGUGAGCUAGAAACUUCAUAUCUCUAUGAGAAGUAAUAGUCUUGGGGACACCAUGUAAGUGAACAACCUCCUGGAAAAACAGUUUUGCCACAUGAGAAGCAUCAUUAGUUUUCUUGCAAGGAAUGAAAUGCGCCAUUUCGGAGAACCUAUCAACAAUAACAAAAAUGGAAUCAGAUCCACGUUGAGUACGUGAAAGACCAAGAACAAAAUCCAUAGAUAAGUCCUCCCAAGGAUGUGCUGGAAUAGGCAGUGGAGUGUAUAAGCCUGUAUUCUGCGAACGUCCCUUCUGAGUUUGACAAAUUGGGCACUUUUGAAUCAUCUGACCUGUAUCUUUUUUAAUUGUGGCCAGUAAAAAUGCUCCUCCAACCCAGCAAUAGUCUUGUCACGCUCCAAAUGACCAUUCAAACCUCCUUCAUGGACCUCCUGAAUCAGCUUUUCCCGCAAAGAAGAUGAAGGGAUGCAUAACUUUUUCUCCUUAAAAAGAAAGCCAUCAUGUACCAAGAACCCAUCAGCAGGCUAGUGAGUCUAGACUCUAGCUCAUAUAUCAGCAAAAUCAUCAUCUGUAGCAUACAAAUCCUUCAGGAAUUCAAAACCUACAACCUCCUGAUUAACUGUAAUCAACAGAGCAGCUCUCCUACUUAAAGCGUUUGCCACCUUAUUACUAUGGUCAGCUUUAUGUUUGAUGACAUAAUGAAAGACUCCAAAGUAAGUUUCCCAUCGAGCAUGCAUCUUAUUCACAUAUUUUUGAGUUUUAAAAUGGAUCAAAGAUUGAUGAUCUGUGUGAAUAAUAAACUCUCGCCCCAUCAGAUACUGUUCCUAAGUUUUAAAAAUCUGAAAUACUACAUAUAGCUCCUGCUCAUAAGUAGACCACUUCUUUCUAACUUCAUUUAGUUUCUCACUAAAGAAGGCAAUAGGCUUUUUAGACUGUGACAACACUCCACCAAUCCCAACUCCACAAGCAUCACAUUCAACCUUAAACAGAUUAUUAAAAUUGGGUAGAGCAAGAAUAGGGGCAGAAGUAAGCUUAUCUUUAAUCUCUUUAAAGCUCUUGUUGGCAGCUUCAGUCCAUGCAAAUUUCUGCACUCUCUCUUUCUUCAAGCAAUAUGUGAUAGAGGCAAUGAUGCUGCUAAAAUUUUUAAUAAACAGUCGAUAGAAAGUAGAAAGGCCAUGAAAGCUGCGAACUUCAAAAAUAGUUUUGGAGAUGGGCCAAUUCCGUAUUGCUUCUACCUUCUUAUCAUCAACAUGUAUCCCUUCUGCACUAACAAGGAACCCCAGGAAUAGAACGCGCUCCAUCACAUAAAUGCACUUCUUAAGAUUAAUAACCAGCUGCUAUCAUAACUUGACGGAGAUGCUGUAAAUAUUCUUCUUCACUGCAACUAAAAAUCAAGAUGUCAUCAAAAUAAACAAUCAUAAAUUUGCAUAAGAAAGGACGCAAAACCUGGUUCAUAAGUCGUAUAAAAGAGCUAGGUGCAUUCGUCAAACAAAAGGGUAUAACCAGCCAUUCAUACAAGCCUUCCUUAGUCUUGAAGGCAGUCUUCAAUUCAUCUCCCUCCUUGAUCCGAACUUGGUGAUAGCCACUUUUAAAGUCGGUUUUAGAAAAGACUUUAGAUCCGGAUAGCUGAUUCAGCAUGUUAUCCAAUCGUGAAAUAGGAAAUCGAUACUGAACUGUAAUUUUGUUGAUGGUCCUGCUAUCCACGCUCAUUCUCCAAGUCCCAUCUUUCUUUGGAACUAAUAGGGCAGGUACUCCGCAGGGCUAAUGCUCUCCUGAAUAUUCCCCUUCUUCAGUAAUUCUUCAACCUGUUCUUGGAGGAUUUCAUUCUCCUUUGGACUCCUCUUGUAAUGAGGUAGAUUCGGUAAUUUUGAUCCAAGAUUGAGAUCAAUCUGAUGUUGGAUAUCCUGCAGAGGUGGAAGCUUGGAAGAUUCCUCCACUAUCUUAGGAAACUCCUUCAACAGCUCUUUGACGGGUGGUGGUAAAGAUGGAGCAUCCUCCAUUGUACUUUUUGCUCUCACCAAUAAAGCAGUGUACCUCCAGAUUUCUCAACUGCGCCUGAUAGCCUCUGCACUCCCGUGGAAACAGCAACAACAUUCUUCCUUUCCACUUUAGAAUGUUUCGCAGGACCGAAAGGCAAGAUAGUAAUCUUCUUUUGAUUCCACGUGAACAUGCAUGAAUUCUCCUUUCCCUUAUGCAAAGUAUCAACAUCGAAUUGCUAAAGGUGACCUAGCAAAAUUCCACAACAAUCCAUAUCCACAACAUCACAAUUAACAGGUUCAGUAUAAGAUUUACCGAUCGAGAUAGGCACGCCACAGAUUUUGUUGACCUCAAUUUUCGGACCUUCCUUAAUCCAUUCAACUUUGUAUGGCGAAGGGUGUGGCUGUGUAGGCAAUUGCAAUUUCUCCACCAAUUUCUUAGCUAUCAAAUUCUCAUAACUAUAGCUAUCUAUAUUUAGCCUGCAAAUUGCCUCUCCUACUCGACACUUUGCUUGGAAAAUCUUCCUUCUUUGCGUCUCGUCCUCCUGUUUUGUUGAGUAUAAGAUUUUCUUCACCACAUAGGUGACCUCUUCAUCUUCAGAACUAGCAAUAGAUUUGUCAUCGUCAUCCACUUCCUCAUCAGUUUCGGCCACUUGCUCAACUAUAUUAACCUGUCGGCGAUCAUUGUUAACUCUUUUAUGUUCUAGACAAUUAUUUGAUCGAUGACAGGUUUCCUGUAGCUGUAACAUAUGUCUCCUGUUGGCUUCUGGUAAGGAUUGGUUCUGCCUCCUUUGUCUGCUGUAGUGGUGACUGCCUUUCUCUUAUUGUCUCUCCUUUCUUCUAUGGUAUUCUGAGGAUUGCCAAAAUUUACAACCUUAGAAGGUUGCCCGCUGUAAUUGCCUCUAUACUACUGUGUCCCUAUCGAAUCAGAAUUUCUGUAAUUGAAAUUUAGGUUGUAUUGCUGUUGUGGCUGCCAAUCAACACACUCUUUUGCUCUUUUUGCCAUCUCAAUAGCGUCUGUCAAGGUGAAAUUGCAGCUACUCUCAUCAUAUAACGAAUUUCGUGAUUCAUGCCCCUCUGAUAAUGAGCAACCUGUUGGGCUUCAUUCUCACAGUUUCCACACCUCACCUACAACCUCAAAACUCCUCAGUAUAUUUAUCCACCCUUUGGUUCCCCUGUAUACAGUCAUGAUACCGGUUAUACAAAACCUGAGCGUGAUCGCUAGGUAAGAACCGUUGUUUAAUUAUCUGCUUCAUCAACACCUAGUUUCGUAUGGGUUCCAGCCUCCUUCGAUAGAGUUCGUUGUGAAUCGAAUUUCAUCAGGCUGCUGCACCCCCAUUUAACUUAUAUGCCACAAUUGGAACCUUGCGAUCCUCUUCACGUUCAUAACUUUGAAAAAACAUUCAACCUCUGCUAGUCAAUCAAGAACAGAUUCCACAUCCAGCGAACUAGAAAAGUUUUGAAGGUCUAUCUUAAUCUUGUAACCUUCCUGAUAAUUCUGUUAAGGAUUUGCAGGCACAGGAUUGACGACCACAGGAUUAGCGACUAGCUAUGGGUGCGCGGUGGCGGCGGGUUGGUGGAUUCCCUACUGCAGGGUCAGCUGUCCGAUCAUAUCCCUCAAUUCUGCCAAAGAUGCCUCAAUCACAGCAAGUCGCACCUCUUGGUUAUCUGCCAUGGUCAAACUUUGCUCUGAUACCAAGCUGAUAAAGAACUAUUUAGACUCCGUCAGGAGUUUUAACCAAUAUCGUUUGACUAAGACGAAAUAAGAGAAAAGAUAGGUUAGAAUACUAAAAGUCUUAUUGAAAUUCCUCAAAGAUUGAAAAAGUGAGUUUCUAAUAGUUAAGGGAGGCUAUUUAUAAUAGAAAUAAAACCCUAAUAUGCAAAAUUACGAAAAUACUCAAAAUAUUCAAAAAAAUAAUUAAAAUACAAAAUUGACCCCCUAAACGAUGGAAUUUCCAUAUCGAACUUUUGUCACACUUUUCAAAGUCGUGCGUCUCGAAAAUUCCUUUUCGAAAAUCUAUCGUAGGUCUCUAUCGGACGUCGGCAGCAAAAGUUAGAUCCGGUGCAAGUCUGCCGUAAAGUCCAAAGCUAGUUGCUCCAUAUUAAGCAUCAACUCAGUGUUUUUCAAUUCGGCAUCAGUUCGAUAUUUUUUAAUUUGGCAUAGUAUCAGGGAAGAGACACUGGAGCUCGUCCCUAUGCAUUUUCUUAUACGCACCCGUUUCAUUAAUCUCAUAUUUGUUGGGUUGCAUUUUGUUUACUAGCCAUUAUUCUUUUAUCCCCUCAAGCUGAGAAUGAGAUAUUAAAACCAUUCCAGGUUUAGUGACAAAAAUAGAGAAUAGAGUAGAUCCAAGACACUUAGUGAAGAUAUCUGCUACUUAGAGAAGGUAACGAGUUAACAUUAUUUAUAUCAUUUAAUUCAUAUAAUUUUAAUUAUAUAUAUCAUUUAGUUCCUAUAUAUUUAAAUAUCUAUACUAUUUAUUUUUUUUUACUAAAAGUAAGUUGAUUAACUGUUAUUUUGACAAAUAGAAUAAACAAUUUAAUUUUAUAAAAUAUAUUAACAUUUUAAUUAAGUAAUUUUGAUAAAGUUAUGAAUUAAUAAAAUUUCUAAAAAGUCAGCAAUUUAAUAAUAAUUUUCUUAUAAAUAAAGUUUCAGCUCCAAUACCAAUUUAUAUUAGCCUUCUUAAUUUAUAUGUCCAUUUUCUUCUCUAUUUUUUAUUUAAAAAAUUUACGAUUAAUUUUUGAGAUUUUAACUCCACGUUUUAAUUUUUUUUGUUUUCAAAAUAUUUAUAAAGUAAGUUAUUUAUUAAUUAUUUAAUUUAUUAAUUUAAUAUAUAGGUUAGAUCCUGUAAGAAUUGAAAUUAAUUCAUUAAACACUUAAAAUUAUAAAAAUUGUAAUAAUUAAAUAUAAAUUAAUCAUUAUUAAAAAUAUUAAAUUAAUCAAAAAUUAUAAUAAUUAAAUAUAAAUUAACCAUUAUUAAAAAAAUAUUAAAUUAAUCACAUAUACCGUUAAUUGCGUCUUAAAUUUACUGAUUACAUUCUAAAUUUUUAUAAAUUGAUAAAAUAUGAAAAAUUUAGAUUAAAAUCAAUACUAUUAUUUAGUGUAAAUAUAUAUUUAAUUUGGAAAUGAAGUUAUUUUUAUCUAUUUCUAUUUAUGUAAUUGAAAUUAUAUAUUAGAAUAUUUAAAUUUAAAAAAUAAAUAUUAAAUUUAUAGAAAAAAUAAUUUUAAGAUUAACAGGUGGAUCGUUUAAAGGACUAUUUAGAGUUUAAAAAAAUAAAUUUUAAAUAAAAAAAUUAGUUUAAUAGUUAAUGAUUAUAUUUAAAAUUUUAAAAAUUUUAAGUAUAGAACAUUAUGCAACAUUAGAGUCCUGCAAACCAAUAAUAGAGCAUGAAAAGACACAAAGGAAUAUCAUACCAUCAAUGGCAACUAGAUUAGAUUUCCUUUUGGUAGAUCCAUCCACAUUCCACUUUAGUCAAUUCUUGAUAGGUAUUUCUCAAGAGAUCAUAGGUCGAGGAGAGGUACUUAGAGUCAAAUUCAACAAUAAUACCACAAUUUGAAGACCAAACAUUUAGCUUGCUCGCAAGAAUGCUCAAGAUUUUUAAUGGCUAAAAAUUAGACAACAUUAAAGUUUUACAAACCAACAGAGUAUGAAAAGACACAGAGAAACAUCAUAUUGUCAAUGGCGGCUAGAUUAGAUUUACUUUUGAUAGAUCCAUCUUGAUAAAGGACUGAUUAUACUCCAUCAAGAGUUUUAAUUAAUAUCGUUUGACUAAGACGAUAUAAAAGAAAAAGAUAGGCCAGAAGCCGAAAAGUUUUAUUAAAAGUCUUAUUAAAAUUUUUUAAAAAUUAAAAAGUGAGUUUCUAAUAGACAAAGGAAACUAUUUAUAAUUAUAAAAAAAAAAUUAAUAUGUAAAAUUAUAAAAAUAUCUAAAAAAAUAAUUAAAAUGUGAAACUAACACCCUAAACGAUAGAUUUUCAUAUCAAAUUUUAUGACAGACCUAUGGCUCUCGUCAUACUUUUAAAAAUAGUGCGUCUCGAAAUUCAUUUUCUGAAAAGAACUUUAGGAUUAUUUAUAUUAAUAUUUAAGUUCGAGAUUUUUCAAUCUUAAAAACUAUUUCGUUAUCAAAAUUUAAAUUUUAAUUGUUUUAUUUAAAUAAUAUUACUUUUUGAAUUGAUUUACAUCUAUAAUUAUAAAUGAUUAUUAAUACCAUUUUCUUAUUAAUAUUAAAGAGUGGUGAAAUUAACACAAACUUUUUAAAUUAAUCUAAAAUUAAUAAAAUUAAAAACAAUUAGGUAUAAAGAGCCAAAAAAUAUGGCAAUCUUCUCUAGUUUAGCACAAAAUUUAUAUCAAGUUAGACAAAAAAAAAAAAUAAAAAUAAAAAAAAGGGAGGAAAACACAAUUAUUAAAGCCGAAUAAUGGCCCAUGCUUAAGUUGAUUUGCUGGUUGUUAACCACCGGGUACAAUGGGUCCAAUCAAACCAUGAAACAAACACUAGACCACUUCACCAUUUUUCAUUAUUUUUUUUACAUUUUUCAUUAUUUUUUUUAACAUUUAAUAAACCGAAAAUGAAGAAGAAGAAACAAGAGGAAGCUGGGUUCACGCCUGAAGGAAACUCAGUGAUCAUUCUGCAGAAACUCAACAAAAUGGUCCAAGUAUUGAUCAUGGAAACCUUUAUCUGCAAAUAGCUUCCUCAUCUCCUUUGCAUUAUCUCUAUAUUCUUCUCCUUCCUUUUCAACCAUCACCAACCUCAGCGAAUCAGCCACCGAUUCUUUUGUGAAAGACCCAUUUGACUCAUCUCUUGUCACCUCUACACCCACCUUCUUCUUUCCAAAAACUCUUGCAAUUAGCCCCUGGUCUAUGAUAUUGAUUGGCAACAUAAUCAGUGCAAGUCCACUAUAAAGUGCCUCUACAACUGAACCAUAACCACAGUGGGUCAAAAAUCCUCCUACUGAUUCAUGACCUAAUAUUCUGAGUUGAGGUACCCAGCUCGUCCACACAAUUCCUCGUCCCUUAACUCGGUCUUUAAAUCCAUCUGGUAACUCCACUGAGCUGUCCUGUUUCCUCAGAACCCAGAAGAAUGGCAACUCUGACAACUCCAACCCAAGUGCCAAUUCGUUUAACUCAGGUUGACUCAGUUCAGCCUCGCUUCCAAAUGCUACAUAUACCACGGAACCUUUGUUUUGUUUGUCUAGCCACUCUCUGAUUGUGAGCCACGUAUCGUCUUCUUCGCUACAAGUGGCAUCAAGAUCAUCAGGUGGCAAUAAACCUAUUGGAAGGCAAGGCUUGCCGUGAAGCUCUCCGAGAAGCCUCAAGAACUCCGCCUCUAGCUCGUUGCAGCUCCGAACAGCUAUAACAUCACAACCUGCAAGAACUGAUCCUACACGAAACAUAUCAGAGACACCUACAUCUGAAUCUUUUACCUCAGCUUGAAAAAUUCGCUUCGCCUCGUGGAGCUUAAAUGCAACCUUGGAAGGAAAAGGGAUCCACUCAGGAACUAAAGUGAAAUCUUCUGGCUGAGACCGUGGAUCCUCACCCUUAAUCAUGGCAGACGAUGAUGAUCCAAAGAAAGAUACACUCCAUGCACCUAAAAU